rnacentral:lncRNA from 1 species
UUAAUCUUUCUAUAUAAAGAAGAUAUUGUUUAGAAAUUAGACACAACUACUAAGAAGCAAAAAACAUCUCCCUAUACUUUCUCUCAACCAUUCACUUAAAAGUACUUAAGCUCUUCUUCAACUUUAUUGGUAAACAUUGUAAGAUAUCCAUGUUUGCAUGUAAGUUUCUUUCCUUUAUUUACUUUUAGUUUUUAAAAGGAUUUCCUGAAAGGGAAAACUUAAGUCCUUUAAUAUCAUGUAGUUUUAAUUCGAAGUUCCCAGGUGUUAGUAUGAUAUUUUAAUUCUCAUGCGUACAUUUAUGGUAAAAUAUAUUCUAAGAUAAAAUAAAGUUUGUUUAAUAACAAUAAUGUUUAUAAUAAUAUUUCUUAAUAUCGCAUCUUAAUAGUGUUUAUAAUCUUUAUUUCUUACUAAGUGACCCACAUAUUAGACAUACGAAUGGACGGAGUGAGCCUAUUAUAAAGUCAUUUUUUGGUGGGGAAAGGUAUUUAAUAGAGAUUAUACACAACACACAAAAAAUAAAAAAUAAAAUACGAUAAUAUAUANNNNNNNNNNNNNNNNNNNNNNNNNNNNNNNNNNNNNNNNNNNNNNNNNNNNNNNNNNNNNNNNNNNNNNNNNNNNNNNNNNNNNNNNNNNNNACCCCCCCCCCUCCUCUUUUGAUAUGGUAGAUGUUUUACUUUUCCAAAAGCUCAGUCUAUCCUUGAUCUUUACCAAGAGAGAUCUUUUUGUGAUCCUCAACUUUUGCUCAAACAUCUUGCAUCGAAGCUUCAAUUCCCAAUUCCGAGCAUCUAGUUGCUCGACUUCGUCUCUUACCCUUUUAUUCUUCUAUAUGCACCAUUCCAAUAUAAAAGCCCUUGACUAAUUCUAUGUUUUGGACUUCCCCUUCAAUAUUUUCUUCAAUAAUUUCUUUGAGCUCAUCAAUGUAUUCGUACUGAGUCUGAUCUUUGUUGAUAUGACCUUGGUUUGAAAGAUACUAUAUACAGUAGUAUCUUCCAUCUUUUAUCUUCCAUCUUUUAAGAGAGAAAUUUUUAUCAAUAAUAAUGACAAAAUAAAGUUCUUUCAUAUACAAGGUAGUGUACAAAAUUUAUAUAAAUAGGAAAAUGUGUCACUUUUCAGAUUAUAAUUUUCCAAACAUAGGUAAAGAAGAAAUUUUUUUCUUUUAUAUCCGUAUUUGUUUUAUUUUAUCAUUGUUAUUCCAAUGUUGCUUUAGUAUCAGGGUGGCUGCCUAAUUCCUUAAAUUCCAUCCUCGAGACAGCAGUCUAAUGAAAUUUGGUUGGAUAAUUAAGUUUAUUUUGGCUUUGAUUUAAGAGUUGGGUGGUCUUUUCCAAUCUUUGUCUUGUUUCUCUUAAUUCUGCUUGCGACAUCGUGAUGUAAUAUCGUUGUUAAUGUACUUGCUUUUGUGCAAUAGCACAUUCAUGGUUACUAUCCGCUAUCCUUUUUUGGAGUUCGUUUAAAUCUGCCCGAAUGAAACGUGCAAGAUGAGUUAGACUAUUUUCUCGAACUAUGGGUGAUAUGAUUCUUUUCUUAUAUAGGACGUGCUACAUGAGGGGGAGGUACGAACACGCCAUCUUGCAUGAAGUUGUUUGCAUCGGAUUUUUCAUGGUCGCUUUAAUCGUCGCUGAUGAUAAUAAUUGGCCCAUGAUCAUUAUUGAUGUCUAUUGGGUUAUUUUUGGGUAUCAUUUGAUUAAUUGGUAUUGGAGACGAAAGAUCUUGGUGAGGGGUCGAAUUUCUAUCGGGUGAUUCUUGUAGUCAUCCGCAUCUAUAGCCAGAUGGACCUUCUCUGAAAUUCCCAAACAUCUAAUAAUUCAAAGGAAACACAUGGACAGUUUAAUAUUUUUUAAUAAUUUACUGAAAAUUUCAAUUUAGACCAACUAGAAAAAUAACUCCCCAAAACUUCAGGGAAUGGAAUCGACAAUUUUUUUUAAAUUGUUUACUUUGAAACCCAAGCAGGGUGCUUUUUUGAGUAGUUGUAUAUAUUUUGUCACGUUUAAUUUAUCAAUAUAUGUCAACUUGAGAAUACUUAACAAAAAUAAAGAUAAAAU